rnacentral:rRNA from 1 species
ACGAACGCUGGCGGCGUGCUUAACCCAUGCACGUCGAACGGAAAGGCCCUGCUUUUGUGGGGUGCUCGAGUGGCGAACGGGUGAGUAACACGUGAGUAACCUGCCCUUGACUUUGGGAUAACUUCAGGAAACUGGGGCUAAUACCGGAUAGGAGCUCCUGCUGCAUGGUGGGGGUUGGAAAGUUUCGGCGGUUGGGGAUGGACUCGCGGCUUAUCAGCUUGUUGGGGGGGUAGUGGCUUACCAAGGCUUUGACGGGUAGCCGGCCUGGGAGGGUGACCAGCCACAUUGGGACUGAGGUAGGGCCCAGACUCCUACGGGGGGCAGCAGUGGGGAAUAUUGCACAAUGGGCGGAAGCCUGAUGCAGCAACGCCGCGUGCGGGAUGACGGCCUUCGGGUUGUAAACCGCUUUCGCCUGUGACGAAGCGUGAGUGACGGUAAUGUGUAAAGAAGCACCGGCUAACUACGUG